CAUUCACGGAGAGUUUGAUCCUGGCUCAGGACGAACGCUGGCGGCGUGCUUAACACAUGCAAGUCGAACGAUGAACCGCCUUCGGGUGGGGAUUAGUGGCGAACGGGUGAGUAACACGUGGGCAAUCUGCCCUGCACUCUGGGACAAGCCCUGGAAACGGGGUCUAAUACCGGAUACUGACCUGCCGAGGCAUCUCGGCGGGUCGAAAGCUCCGGCGGUGCAGGAUGAGCCCGCGGCCUAUCAGCUUGUUGGUGAGGUAAUGGCUCACCAAGGCGACGACGGGUAGCCGGCCUGAGAGGGCGACCGGCCACACUGGGACUGAGACACGGCCCAGACUCCUACGGGAGGCAGCAGUGGGGAAUAUUGCACAAUGGGCGCAAGCCUGAUGCAGCGACGCCGCGUGAGGGAUGACGGCCUUC
rnacentral:rRNA from 1 species